GGGGAGAAGCUCAGCGUGUAGCCUCGGGGAUGCCCUCCAAGUGAGUGUGUUAAUCCUACGAUGGGAUGCCACGUAUGGGAGAAUACUUGAAGAGUACGCGACGCGGCAAUCCGAAGUGUUUGAUGAAACAUUGCCCAGAGAGGGUGUUAGGCCCGUAGGACCGUUAUUCGUCGCUACUUUUCGCGGUGUUCUCUCGAGAGUCGGGUUGUUUGAGAAUACAGCCUUAAGAGGUGGGAAACUCCAUCUAAAGCUAAAUAUUACUGCGAGACCGAUAGCGAACAAGUACCGUGAGGGAAAGUUGAAAAGGACUCUGAAGAGAGGGUUCAAGAGAGCGUGAAACUGCCACGGGGAUAAAGCGGAUACAUUAGCGUAGUCGAAAAGGGAGAUACAGCUCGUUCGCCGUCGACCUCUCGGUCGCGACGUUCCUGAGGAAUUAUCCCGCGGACGCGUCUUUCGGGGCGCGUCUCGGUUCUUGGUUCUUCUCGUGGCGUCGUCCGUGGUUUAUGCGUACGUUCACGAACGAGUCUAUUUCACACCUUAGUAGGCCGUCGCGACGGUUGGAAAGUUGUCGAAGGCUUGAAAGGUCGCGGGAACCUUUCGUCGCGAGAGAUUUGCGUCUUCGGGCGCGUCUUUCGUCGACGAAGGGGGACGCUUUCUCGAAUUUACUGGCGGACUUUCCGACCGGAGAAAUAGGCGUCGUCUCCUCUUCACCGAGGAACGACGCGAGUGCGGCGCUCUUAGCGACCAAUUUAUCCGUCCCGUCUUGAAACACGGACCAAGGAGUCUAACAUGUACGCGAGUCAAAGGGCCUACUAAACCCCUAGGCGUAAUGAAAGUAAAGUGACGGUAGCAAUACCGUCGGGGAUUGAUCCGAAGCUCCGCCGAAAUUUAUUUCGAGCGGACCGGCGCAAAUCCGGGACCCGUCUUACUGCUCUUAGCUCUCGUAGCUAGGAGUUCAUGUGGCGGGUACCUCGAGCGUACACGUUGGUACCCGAAAGAUGGUGAUCUAUGCUUGGCCGGGAUGAAGCCAGAG
rnacentral:rRNA from 1 species